CUCCCCCCCCCCCCCCCCCCCCCCCUCCCUCACUCCGCGCUUCCUCUGCGGGUGGGUGCGGGCUCUGUUCCGAAUGGACUGGCUGGCUCGCUAGCUCGUCGGCUGGACGAAUCGAUUCGUCUCGAUGCUCUGCCUACCUUUGCCCCCUGCCUUUUCCUCUCGAGGAGAAGAUGUUUUGUUCCUUGUUGUGGUUGGGCAAUCUGUGGAUUACCUUUUUGUCUUGCGCGUGUAGCAGUUUUUCAGAAAAGUGGAGUUGACUCGGCUGUAGCUAGCGUGGAUACCUACCAGCGACAUAUAGAACAGAUAAUAAGCACUACUUGGUUGUGUGGAGCUCAUGUCGAAUUCAGAUUUCUGUAAUCGUUCAGUUACUUAGGGCCGACCCAAAAUUGCUUGCAGCAGCUUUGCUAGGGCCGACCCAAAAUUCAGAUUUUCUACUGAGUGGUUAGAUCUUCCUAGCUAGGGAUGAAUGAGCUCUGGCAUGGUACUCCUACCAAGAAUGGAGGAAUACAGACGUCUAGCUCUAUGCAUGAACAUUCGAGAGCAUUACCGAGAGAAACAUACAUACAAAGGCUUAAGCAAGAGUAUACUUUAUAAUUGACGCACUGCUUUGUCAAAUACCCUGCUUCUUUCAUGAUUUAGACAAUUGUAUUGUAUCUGACAAGAUUUUGAAAUAACUCAUACAAAAUGAGAUGGUGCCCUGCCCCAUUGACAUAGUUAAUAACGCUAUUGACGAUCACCUAGCCAAGAGGCUCACCGAACUGUGUGGUUCUGAGAACAAAUUAGUUGUGGGAAGUUCUGAAUAUAAAAGAAUAAUUGAAAUGAACCUGGUUAGUAUACUUUGUAAGCUUUCUUGUUGCUUCUGUCUGGGUGAACAGUACUGACCACCACCUGCUUUUUUAGGGAAUAGCCUGUCUUUAUGUUGAUGUUCCGGAUUGUGAGAUCAUAAUUUGGAGUCAGAUGAAUCCCGUGCGUACUUUACUUGGUUUCCCGACAGGAGACAUGACUAUUGUGCUGCUAUAUGAAGCACCCGUUGGCAUUGCAAUUUUCUCUUUUGAUGGGGACUACCUCAAUGAUCCAGCAAAGGUUCUUAUUUUUUCCUUGCUGAUGCUCCUUAAGAUUUGGCUGUCAUCAAUGACAAACUCAAGAUCAUCUAAUCGAUUACUCUGCUUUUUCUACAUGACUUUUGGUAAUGCUUGCCACCGCUUGCUAGUAAUGCUCCCAUUUUUUAAUCAUUGAUCCUGCCUCCUUUCAUGAUUUAGACAAUUGUGUUAUACCAAAUUUCCGUUCGAUUUUCUCAUGUUCUGCUCACUCUAAGGAAGGUGGGUAGAUGAUUGUCAAACUUCUGGGCUGUUAUGGAGGAUCCUACAGGUGGACGGCUGGGCGACGUGCUGAUUCUCGGUGGAAGGGAGCGAGGAGGCGGAGAGUUCGAUCAGAGAAAGCAAUUGUGCAAUCUCUUUCUCCAGGUAAGUGAUACCCUGACAACAGUUUGAUACUAUUGUUGUAUUUGAUUCCUUUCGCUUCAGUUACAAGCUAUAACUAUCCUGCAAGAUGGUGGGACGAAUCAGAAGUCCACCAACCGCUUGCACGUGUCAUGCGUGUUUGUCGGAACAGAUUUGCAGCUACCCCUAUCCUCUCCAUAUCAGGUUCUCCCUACAACCUCUUCUUCAUGGAGUACGUUUGAUUCUGCCAUCGCAAUACAUUUUCUGCCAGUCCACUUCUUAAAUCUAGAGAUUUAAAAAAUGUUGUACCUAGAACAACAUCAGUUGUCUGGCUUGGAAAUUUCAUGUAUUGGUCGAUGCAAAGCUUAAAUAUAGAUGUUGUGCUCCAGAUACUAAAGCUUUAUAUGAUCUGGCUGUUCUACUGACAUUUUUCUCUUAAAUUGUACUCAUUACUUCAGAGAAAGAUGGAUGGUCGUAUGUACACCAAUCUGGAUCAACAGAGCUUACUACGUUGCAUUAACCAUACCUUUGUGGUCGUCAACUGAAAUGGAUUAUUUUUUUCAAGUAUUAUUUCAUGGAUUACUGUUUGCUAUUCCAUUACUUGGUGCUCCCGACACAGCAUCUAUUGAUGACACCACACACCACUUGAGGAUGCUUCGUUUUCUCACUCAAGCACAACGUUAACGACUAUUGUUAAGGAAGCUCAUCGCUUGCAUCAAAUCGAAUUGCGUGAAAAGGAACAUUUGAAGUUCUUGCGCCUUCUUCUUAAGGAUUUUAUGAUUAAAUAUGGCAUUGACACUGAGAAUUGGAUUCUGAUCCAAUUUGCAACAGCUCUGAAGAUUAUUGUUUUAUGCCCCUGGAGCAUCAGGUGAACAUAUACCUGGAGGUACAUGUGAUGAGGUCGUCUGUUUCGUUGGCUUGCUGUGUGGAGUCCCCAUAUGGAACUAUUAAAAAAAAGACAUGUCCAACAGACUCAGCCAGAUGAAGGCCAUCGAAGAUCACAAGGGCAGCUUGCUAUUGUACAGGAAUUCAACACAUAAGGGCAGCUUGUUACAUUUACAGAAACUCAUGAUGUUGGCAAUGGUAAGGGGGCGAAAUCAUGAAGGCACGGUUGGGUUGCAAGGUGCUCAAACUCUCAUAUUGCGAUUUGCCUACAACUUUGUUUGUAGGUUUGUUUGUUUGGUUGUUUGUAGUUUGUUUCUGUGACCUGUACUAAAGCAAAUAGCAGCUAUUUGCAGUCCGACAUACAUGUGCAUAUACAAAACUCAGAGAAGUCAUGGUAAAAACUUGCUGUUAAGCGACGAUAUGGGUGUCAUAAAGAACUUGGAAUUGGUGGGUGAGCA